AAAUUGAAGAGUUUGAUCAUGGCUCAGAUUGAACGCUGGCGGCAGGCCUAACACAUGCAAGUCGAACGGUAACAGGAAGAAGCUUGCUUCUUUGCUGACGAGUGGCGGACGGGUGAGUUAUGUCUGGGAAACUGCCUGAUGGAGGGGGAUAACUACUGGAAACGGUAGCUAAUACCGCAUAACGUCGCAAGACCAAAGAGGGGGACCUUCGGGCCUCUUGCCAUCGGAUGUGCCCAGAUGGGAUUAGCUAGUAGGUGGGGUA
rnacentral:rRNA from 1 species